UUGGAGGGCAAGUCUGGUGCCAGCAGCCGCGGUAAUUCCAGCUCCAAUAGCGUAUAUUAAAGUUGUUGCAGUUAAAAAGCUCGUAGUUGAACUUCGGGGUUUACCCAUUGGUCAGGCUUAAUUGUCUGCACUGGUGAGAUGAAUCUCUACCUUCUGAGGAACUUUCAUGCCAUUUAUUUGGUGUGAUGGGAAAUCAGGACUGUUACUUUGAAAAAAUUAGAGUGUUUAAAGCAGGCUAACGUCUGAAUACAUUAGCAUGGAAUAAUGAAAUAGGACGGACUGAUUCUAUUUCGUUGGUUUCUAGGAUCACCGUAAUGAUUAAUAGGGAUAGUUGGG
rnacentral:rRNA from 1 species